rnacentral:rRNA from 1 species
GACGAACGCUGGCGGCGUGCUUAACACAUGCAAGUCGAGCGGUAAGGCCCUUCGGGUACGACGAGCGGCGAACGGGUGAGUAACACGUGGGUGACCUGCCUCUAGCUCUGGGAGUAAGCCUGGGAAACGUGGGUCGUAAUACCGGAUAUGACUCCACGGCGCAUGUUGUGGGGUGGAAAGCCUUGUGUGGCUAGAGAUGGGCCCGCGGCCUAUCAGCUUGUUGGUGGGGUGAUGGCCUACCAA